CAGUCUGGGUGACAGAGUGAGACUCUAUCUCAAAAACAUAAUAAUUGGAAUAAUAAAAGAAAAUGCAAAAAUUCAAACAACUUAACAGAAACUGGGCAAAAGAGCUGAACUGGCCCUCCACAGAAGAGGAAAUGUGGAGGAACGGCUAAUGAAAACACGAAGAGGGGCUCAGCCCAACGGGGAGAUAUCAUGUGACACCCACCAGACUGGCAGAAAUCCCACAACCCAAUCAAUGCCAGUGUUGGGGAGAAGGGAGAGUAGCAGGAACACCAGGCACUGCUAAGAAUGGUUAUGAAAUAUAUUUUUGUUACGCUUGUAUAUGAAAGGGGGUGUGUUGUGGGUUAUGAGGAAAAUUAUAUUUCUUACCUGGGAUGAAAUUUUAAAACUUGAAAGCUACUGACCCGAAGAAACUUGCACGUGUGUAAAAAGAAAUGCCCAAGAACGUUCCUAGCAAAACACAGUCCUAAGGGCCCCAACCUGGCCAAACACUCACCCACAGGGAAAUGAAGACAUUUCCCGUGCUCCCCUCAGACGACGGGAGAUCACACAGCAAUGACAAUGAAUCAUGUCAGUGUGGUUGGGUCUCAGGGAGAGAAUGGAGAUGGGAGAUCACACAAUGAAAAUGAACCACGUCAGUUUGGGUGGGUCUCAGGGAGAGAAUGGAGAUGGGAGAUCACACAAUGAAAAUGAACCACGUCAGUGUGGGUGGGCCUCAGGGAGAAUGGAGAUGGGAGAUCACACAAUGAAAAUGAACCACAUCAGUGUGGGUGGGUCUCAGGGGGAGAAUGGAAGACAAAGACAGACAUUAAGCAGAUGCUCAGAGCCAUGCAGCAUAGGAGCAGCCACGCAGGAGAAUUUCCUCACAUCAAAGUUCAAAACUACAGCCGAGGCAACAGAGCAAGACCCUGCCUCAAAAAGAAAACAGAAAGUUCAAAAACUAAAUGGCAUAUUUUUUGGGAUGUACACAUACGCGGUGAAAGAAACGUACUGUGAAGAAAAGUACGGGAACAAUAAAGACUAAAGCAGGAAGUGAUUCCCUCUGUAGAAGAAGGGAAGGGACUGGGACUCAGGCAGGGCCUCCAGGGAACAUCUGAAGUUAUGUCUCUUCAGAUUCAUUCCCUAAACUUGGUGGAGGUCCUCUGUGUCCAAUGUGUCGAUAUUCUUUAUAUUUUACCCAUAUUGUACCAAUGCUUUAUUUCUAUUCAAUAUUUAGAAGACAGUUAUAAACAAGAUGCAUUAAAUAGCAAGAUGGCCGAUGAACAUCAGGAAGGAACAUCCAUGAGGUUCCAUCCACAGAACCUCACCAUGGAUACGCUUGUGAUCAAAGGCCUGGUCUCCCCUCACGACACAGAGCAGAGGCCGCACCAUCAUAGUGGAGCAGGAGCAGCUGGGACAGGGCCCUUCUGUGAACCUGCUGCAUCGCCAGGCUGUGCAAACGGACUCAGCGGCCAGAACUCACAGAGUAUCAGUAUCAGCACCGAAACCUCACAGGAAAAACGCUCCACAAACUUUAGACUUAAACAGCAUCACUGGCUCCUGACCAGGAUUCCAGCUCCACGAACCUCAAACUACAACACCAGCCUUCCUUCUCCUUAGGGCUCCAGCUCCAAAACCUAAGACAUCAGUGGCAGUACCUACUCCUCCUGGAGGCUCCAGCUCUGACAGCCUCAGACUUGAACCGCAGCACCAGCUCUUCCCCGGAUCUCCAGCUCCACCACCCUCAGAUUUAAACAGCAGCAGCACCAGCUCAUCUGUGGGUCUCUAGCUCCACGACACUCAAACUAGGACAACAUCAGCUCAUCCCCGGGUCGCCAACUGCAUGACAAUCCAACUAGAAACACACCAGCUCCUCCCUGGGUCUCCAGCUCCACAAACCUCACACGACAAAGGCAACACCAGCUCCUCCUCAGGUCUCCAGCUUUACAACCUAAGACAGUGGCAGCUCCAGCUCCUCCCAGGGGCUCAAGCUCCGAGCCUCUCAGACUUGAACCUCAGCACUAGCUCUUCCCUGGAUCUCCAGCUCGACGACCUUCAGAUUUACACAACAGAAGAACUAGCUCCUCCCUGGGUCUCCAGAUACACGACCCUCAACUAGAACAUCAGCUCUUCUCCAGGUCUCCAGCUCCAGGGCCGACAAACUAGAACAACAACGCUCCCCCCUAUAUCUCCAGAUCAACAAACCUCAAAUAGGAAUGCCAACACCGCUCCUCCGCAGGUCUCCAGCUUCACAACCCAAAACUAGAAACACCAACACAAGCUCCUCCGCGGGUCUCCAACUCCACGACCCACAAACUAGAACAACGCUCCCCCCGUAUCUCCAGCUCCACAACCCUCAACUAGAAACACCAACUCCGGCUCCUCCGUGGGUCUCCAGCUCCACGACCCUCAACUAGAAACACCAACUCCAGCUCCUCCGUGGGACUCCAGCUGCAUGACCCUCAAUGAGAAACACCAACACCGUCUCCUCCGUGGGUCUCAAGCUCCAGACCCUGAACCAGAAACACCAACAACAGCUCCUCCACAGGUCUCCAGCUCCGCGACCCACGAACUAGAAAACAAUGCUCCACCCUGUAUCUCUUGCUCCACAACCCUCAACGAGAAACACCACCACUGGCUCCUUCACGGGUCUCCAGCUCCACGACCCACAAACCAGAAAACAAUGCUCCACCCUAUAUCUCCAGCUCCACAACCCUCAACGAGAAACAUGAACUCCAGCUCCUCCACGGGUCUCCAGCUCCACAAACCACAAACUAGAAAACAACGCUGCACCCUGUAUCUCCAGCUCCACAACCCUCAACAGGAAACACCAACAAUGGCUCCUCCGUGGGUCUCCAGCUCCACAACCCUCAACUAGAAACACCAACACCAGCUGCUCCGCAAGUCUUCAGCUGCACGACCCUGAACUAGAAACACCAACAGCGGGUCCUUUGCAGGUCUCCAGGACCACGACCCUCAACUAGAAACACCAACAGUGGCUCCUCCACGGGUCUGCACCUCCAUGACCAUCAACUAGAAGCACCAACAGCGGCUCUUCCGAAGGUCUCCAGCACCACAACCUAAACAAGAAACACCAACACCGGCUCCGCUGCAGGUCUCCUCCUCUACGACCUUCAGCUACAAACACCAACACUGGCUCCUCCGCGAGUCUCCAGCUCCACAACCUACAAACUAGAAAACAACACUCCACCCUGUAUCUCCAGCUCCACAACACUCAACGAGAAACACCAACAACGGCUCCUCCGCGGGUCCCAGUUCUACAACCCACAACUAGAAACACCAACACUGGCUCCUUGGCAGGUCUCCAGCUCCACGACUCUCAACUAGAAACAUCAACUCUGGCUCCACCAUGGGUCUCCAACUCCACGACCCUCAACUAGGAACACCAACUCCAGCUCCUCAACGGGUCUCCAGCUCCACAACCCACAAACAAGAAAACAAUGCUCCGCCCUGUAUCUCUAGCUCCACAACCCUCAACAAGAAACACCAGCACCAGCUCCUCCACGGGUCUCCAGCUCCACAACCCACAAACUAGAAAACAAUGCUCCACCCUGUAUCUCCAGCUCCACAACCCUCAACAAGAAACACCACCAUGGGCUACUCUGCGGAUCUCCAGCUCCGCGACCCACAAACUAGAAAACAAUGCUCUACCCUGUAUCUCCAGGUCUACAACCCUCAAUGAGAAACACCAACAACGGCUCCUCCGAGGGUCUCCAGCUCCACGAUCCUCAACUAGAAACACGAACACCAUCUCCUCUGUGGGUCUCUAGCUCCACAAUCAUCAACUAGAAAUACCAACAAUGGCUCCUCCAUAUGUCUCCAACUCCACGACCCUCAACCAGAAACACCAACGACAGCUCCUCCACGGGUCUCCAGCUCCAUGACCCACAAACUAGAAAACAACGCUCCACCCUGUAUCUCCAGCUCCACAAACAUCAACUAGAAACAUCAACUGCAGUUUCUCCGCGAGUCUCCAGCUCCAAAACCCUCAACUACAAACACCAAGACAGGCUCCUCCGCAGGUCUCCAGCUCCACAAUCCUCAAUUAGAAACAACAAAACCGGCUCCUCUGCGGGUCUCCAGCUCCACAAACCACAAACUAGAAAACAACGCAUCACCUUAUAUUUCGGGCUCCACAACAGUCAAUGAGAAACACCAACAAUGGCUCCUCCACGGGUCUCCAACUCCCCAAACCUUAACUAGAAACAUCAACACUGGCUCCUCCGUGGGACUCCAGCAACACGACCUUCAACUACAAACACCAACACCGGCUCCUGACGGGUCUCCAGCUCCACGACAUUUAACUAGAAACACCAACAGCUUCUCGUCAACAGGUCUCCAGCACCAUGACGCUCAGCAAGAAAAAACAACACUGGAUCCUCUGCGGGACUCCAGCUCCACGAUCCUCAACUAGAAACAUCAACAAUGGCUCCUCCACGUGUCUCCAACUCCAAACUUUCAACCAGAAACACCAACGACAGCUUCUCCAUGGGUCUCCAGCUCCACCACCCACAACCUAGAAAACAACGCUCCACCCUGCAUCUACAGCUCCACGACCCUAAAACAAAGACACCAACAGCGGCUACUCCGCCAACGCCACCUCGAUGACCCUCAACUAAAACACCAACUCCGGCUCCUCCAUGGGUCUCCAGUUCCCCGACCCUCAACUAGAAACACCAACUCCAGCUCCACCACAGGUCUCCAACUCCACAACCCACAAACCAGAAAACAAUGCUCCACCUUGUAUCUGUAGCUCCACAAGCCUCAACGAGAAACACCACCACCGGCUCCUCCACGGGUCUACAGCUCGAUGAAACACAAACUAGAAAACAAUGCUCUACCCUGUAUCUUCAGCUCCACGACCCUCAAAUAAAAACACCAACAGCAACUACUCCGCCAUCUCCACCUCGAUGACCCUCAACUAGAAACACCAACUCCAGCUCCUCCAUGGGUCUCCAGCUCCACUACCCUCAAUUAGAAACACCAAUGACAGCUCCUCCACGGGUCUCCAGCUCCAUGACCCACAAAUUAGAAAACAAUGCUCCACCCUGUAUCUCCAGCUCCACAAACCUUAAACAAAGACCCCCACAGCGGCUAUUCCGCCAUCGACACCUGGAUGACCCUCAACUACAAACACCAACUCCGGCUCCUCCAUGGGUCUCCAGCUCCAUGACCCUCAACUAAAAACACCAACUCCAGCUCCUCCACAGAUCUCCAGCUCCACGACCCACAAAUCAGAAAACAACGCUCCACCCUGUAUCUCCAGCUCCACAAUCCUCAACGAGAAACACCACCACCGGCUCCUCUGCGGGUCUCCAGCUCAAACACCCACAAACUAGAAAACAACACUCCACCCUGUAUCUUCAGCUCCACAACCCUCAACGAGAAACACGAACAACGGCUCCUCUGCGGAUAUCCAGCUCCACUAUCAUCAACUAGAAACACCAACAAUGGCUCCUCCGCAUGUCUCCAACUCCACGACCCUCAACCAGAAACACCAUCGAAACCUCCUCCACGGGUCUCCAGGUCCGUGACCCACAAACUAGAAAACAACGCUCCACCCUGUAUCUCCAGCUCCACGACCCUCAAAGAAAAACACCAAGAGCAGCUGCUCCACCAUCUCCAACUCGAUGACCCUCAACUAGAAACACCAACUUCACCUUCUCCAUGGGUCUCCAGCUCCACGACCCUCAACUAGAAACACCAACUCCAGAUCCUCCACGGGUCUCCAGCUCCGUGACCCACAAACUAGAAAACAAUGCUGCACCCUGUAUCUCCAGCUCCACACACAUCAACUAGAAACACCAACUGCAGUUCCUCCACGAGUCUCCAGCUACAAAACCCUCAACUACAAACACCAACAUGGGCUCCUCCACAAGUCUCCAGCUCCACGAUCCUCAAUUAGAAACAACAAAACCGGCUCCUCCGCAGGUCUCCAGCUCCGCAAACCAAAAACUAGAAAACAACACAUCACCCUAUAUCUCCAGCUCCACAACAGUCACCGAGAAACACCAACAAUGGCCCCUCCACAGGUCUCCAACUCCCCAAAGCUCAACUACAAACACCAACACCGGCUCCUCCGUGGGUCUCCAGCAACACGACCCUCAACUACAAACACCAACACUGGCUUCUGGUGGGUCUCCAGCUCCACGACAUUCAACUAGAAACACCAACAGCUUCUCCUCCGCAGGUCUCCAGCACCAUGACCCUCAGCAAGAAACACUAACACCGGAUGCUCCAUGGGACUCCAGCUCCACGAUCCUCAACUAGAAACACCAACACCGGCUCCUCCGCAGGUCUCCAGCUCCACAAUACUCAACUAGAAACACCAACAAUGGCUCCUCCGUGUGUCUCCAACUCCAAACCCGCAACCAGAAACACCAACGACAGCUCCUCCACGGGUCUCCAGCUCCACGACCCACAAACUAGAAAACAACGCUCCACCCUCUAUCUCCAGCACCACAACCCUCAACGAGAAACACCCACAACGGCUCCUCCGCAGGUCUCCAGCUCCACGAUCCUCAACUAGAAACACUAACAAUGUCUACUCCACGUGUCUCCAACUCCCAACCCUUAACCAGAAACACCAACGACAGCUCCUCCAUGGGUCUCCAGCUUCAAGACCCACAAACCAGAAAACAACGCUCCACCCUGUAUCUCCAGCUCCACGACCCUCAAACAAAGACCCCCACAGCGGCUAUUCCGCCAUCGACACCUCGAUGACCCUCAACUAGAAACACCAACUCCGGCUCCUGCAUCGGUCUCCAGCUCCACAACCCUCAACUAGAAGCACCAACUCCAGCUCCUCCACAGGUCUCCAGCUCCACGACCCACAAAUCAGAAAACAACGCUCCACCCUGUAUCUCUAGCUCCACAAUCCUGAAUGAGAAACACCACCACCGGCUCCUACACGGGUCUCCAUCUCCACGACCCACAAACUAGAAAACAACGCUCCACCCUGUAUCUCCAGCUCCACAAUCCUCAACAAGAAACACCACCACUGGCUCCUCUGCGGGUCUCCAGCUCAAACACCCACAAAGUAGAAAACAACACUCCACCCUGUAUCUUCAGAUCCACAACCCUCAACGAGAAACACCAACAAAGGCUCCUCCAUUGGUAUCCAGCUCCACGAUCAUCAACUAGAUACACCAAAAAUGGCUCCUCCGUAUGUCUCCAACUCCAUGACCCUCAACCAGAAACGCGAUCGACAGCUCCUCCAUGGGUCUCCAGGUCCGUGACCCACAAACUAGAAAACAACGCUCCACCCUGUAUCUCCAGCUCCAUGACCGUAAAACAAAAACACCAACAGCGGCUACUCCGCCGUUUCCAUCUCGAUGACCCUCAACUAGAAACACCAACUCCAGCUCCUCCAUGGGUCUCCAGCUCCACGACCCUCAACGAGAAACACCAUCUCCAGCUCCUCCACAGGUCUCCAGCUCCAUGACCCACAAAACAGUAAACAAUGUUCCACCCUGUAUCUCCAGCUCUACAAACAUCAACUAGAAACACCAACUGCAGUUCCUCCACGAAUCUCCAGCUCCAAAACCCUCAACUACAAACACCAACAUGGGCUCCUCCGCAGGUCUCCAGCUCCACGAUCCUCAAUUAGAAACAACAAAACCGGCUCCUCCGCGGUUCUCCAGCUCCGCAAAUCACAAACUAGAAAACAAAGCAUCACCCUAUAUCUCCAGCUCCACGACCCUCAACUAAAAACACCAACUCCAGCUCCUCCACAGGUCUCCAGCUCCAUGACCCAAAAACCAGAAAACAGCGCUCCACCUUGUAUCUCUAGCUCCACAACCCUUAAUGAGAAACACCACCACCGGCUCCUACACGGCUCUCCAGCUCCAUAACCCACAAACUAGAAAACAAUGCUCCACCCUGUAUCUCCAGCUCCACAACCCUCUACGAGAAAAACCAACAACGACUCCUCCGCGGGUCUCCAGCUCCACGAUCCUCAACUAGAAACACCAACAAUGGCUCCACCACGUGUCUCCAACUCCAAACCCUCAAGCGGAAACACCAACGACAGCUCCUCCACAGGUCUCCAGCUCCACGACCCACAAACUAGAAAACAACGCUCCACCCUGUAUCUCCAGCUCCACACACAUCAACUAGAAACACCAACUGCAGUUCCUCCUCGAGUCUCCAGCUCCAAAACCCUCAACUACAAACACCAACAUGGGCUCCUCCGCAGGUCUCCAGCUCCACGAUCCUCAUUAGAAACAACAAAACCGGCUCCUCUGCAGGUCUCCAGCUCUGCAAACCACAAACUAGAAAACAACGCAUCACCUUAUAUCUCCAGCUCCACAACAGUCACCGAGAAACACCGACAAUGGCACCUCCAUGGGUCUCCAACUCCCCAAACCUCAACUAGAAACACGAACACCGGCUCCUCCGUGGGUCUCCAGCAACACGACCCUCAACUACAAACACCAACACUGACUCCUGGCAGGUCUCCAGCUCAACGACAUUCAACUAGAAACACCAACAGCUUCUCCUCCGCAGGCCUCCAGCACCAUGACCCUCAGCAAGAAACACUAACACCGGAUCCUCCACGGGACUCCAGCUCCACGAUCCUCAACUAGAAACACCAACACUGGCUCCUCCGCGGGUCUCCAGCUCCACGAUCCUCAACUAGAAACACCAACAAUGGAUCCUCCGCGUGUCUCCAACUCCAAACCCACAACCACAAACACCAACGACAGCUCCUCCAUGGGUCUCCAGCUUCACGACCCACAAACUAGAAAACAAGGCUCCAUCCUGUAUCUCCAGCUCCACGACCCUCAAACAAAGACCCCCACAGCGGCUAUUCCGCCAUCGACACCUUGAUGACCCUCAACUAGAAACACCAACUCCAGCUCCUCCAUGGGUCUCCAGCUCCACGACCCUCAACUAGAAACACCAACUCCAGCUCCUCCACAGGUCUCCAGCUCCAUGACCCACAAACCAGAAAACAACGCUCCACCCUGUAUCUCUAGCUCCACAAUCCUCAACGAGAAACACAACCACCGGCUCCAACACGGGUCUCCAGCUCCACGACCCACACACUAGAAAACAAUGCUCCACCCUGUAUCUCCAGCUCCACAACCCUCAACGAGAAACACCACCACUGGCUCCUCUGCAGGUCUCCAGCUCCACGCCCCACAAACUAGAAAAAACGCUCCACCCUGUAUCUCCAGCUCCACAACCCUCUACGAGAAACACCAACAACGGCUCCUCCGCGGGUCUCCAGCUCCAUGAUCCUCAACUAGAAACACCACCACUGGCUCCUCCACAGGUCUCCAGCUCCAUGACCCACAAACCAGAAAACAAUGCUCCACCCUGUAUCUUCAGCUCCACAACCUUCAAUGAGAAACACCAACAACGGCUCCUGUGCGGGUAUCCAGCUCCAUGAUCAUCAACUAGAAACCCCAACAAUGGCUCCUCCGCAUGUCUCCAACUCCACGACCCUCAACCAGAAACACCAUCGAAACCUCCUCCACGGGUCUCCAGGUCCGUGACCCACAAACUAGAAAACAACGCUCCACCCUGUAUCUCCAGCUCCACGACCCUCAAAGAAAAACACCAAGAUCGGCUGUUCCACCGUCUCCACCUCGAUGACCCUCAAUUAGAAACACCAAUUCCAGGUCCUCCACGGGUCUCCAGCUCCAUGACCCACAAACUAGAAAACAACGCUCCACCCUGUAUCUCCAGCUCCAUGACCGUUAAAGAAAAACACCAACAGCGGCUACCCCGCCAUUUCCAUCUCGAUGACCCUCAACUAGAAACACCAACUCCAGCUCCUCCAUGGGUCUCCAGCUCCACGACCCUCAACUAGAAACACCAAUUCCAGCUCCUCCACUGGUCUCCAGCUCCAUGACCCACAAACUAGAAAACAAUGCUCCACCCUGUAUCUCCAGCUCCACAAACAUCAACUAGAAACACCAACUGCAGAUCCUCCGCGAAUCUCCAGCUCCAAAACCCUCAACUACAAACACCAACAUGGGCUCCUCCGCAUGUCUCCAGCUCCACGAUCCUCAAUUAGAAACAACAAAACCGGCUCCUCCGCGGGUCUCCUGCACCAGAAACCACAAACUAGAAAAGAACGCAUGACCCUAUAUCUCCAGCUCCACGACCCUCAAGUAAAAACAACUCCAGCUCCUCCACAGGUCUCCAGCUCCAUGACCCACAAACUAGAAUACAAUGCUCCACCCUGUAUCUCCAGCUCCACAACCCUCAAACAAAGACACCAACAGCGGCCAUUCCGCCAUCGCCACCUCGAUGACCCUCAACUAGAAACACCAACUCCGGCUCCUUCAUGGGUCUCCAGCUCCACGACCCUCAACUAGAAACACCAACUCCAGCUCCUCCACAGGUCUCCAGCUUCACGACCCACAAACCAGAAAACAAUGCUCCACCCUGUAUCUGUAGCUGCACAACCCUCAAUGAGAAACACCACCACCAGCUCCUACACGGGUCUCCAUCUCCACGACCCACAAACUAGAAAACAAUGCUCCACCCUGUAUCUCCAGCUCCACAACCCUCAACGAGAAACACCACCACCGGCUCCUCUGCAGGUCUCCAGCUCCACGACCCACAAACUAGAAAACAAAGCUCCACCCUGUAUCUCCAGCUCCAAAACCCUCAACAAGAAACAGCAACAAUGGCUCCUCCAUGGGUCUCCAGCUCCACGAUCCUCAACUAGAAACACUAACAAUGGCUCCUCCGCGUGUCUCCAACUCCAAACCCUCAACCAGAAACACCAACGACAGCUCCUCUACGGGUCUUCAGCUCCACGACCCACAAACUAGAAAACAACGCUCCACCCUGUAUCUCCAGUUCCAUGACCCUCGAACAAAGACACCCACAGCGGCCAUUCCGCCAUCGACACCUCGAUGACCCUCAACUAGAAACACCAACUCCGGCUCUUCCUUGGGUCUCCAGCUCCACGACGCUCAACUAGAAACACCAACUCCAGCUCCUCCACAGGUCUCCAGCUCCAUGACCCACAAACCAGAAAAAAACGCUCCACCCUGUAUCUCUAGCUCCACAACCCUCAACGAGAAACACCACCACCGGCUCCUCUGCGGGUCUCCAGCUCCACAAUCAUCAACUAGAAACACCAAAAAUAGCUCCUCCGCGUGUCUCCAACUCCAUGACCCUCAACCAGAAACACCAUCGACACCUCCUCCACGGGUCUCCAGGUCCGUGACCCGCAAACUAGAAAACAACGCUCCACCCUGUAUCUCCAGCUCCACGACACUCAAAGAAAAACACCAAGAGUGGCUACUCCGCCGUCUCCACCUCGAUGACCCUCAAUUAGAAACACCAACUCCAGCUCCUCCAUGGGUCUCCAGCUCCACGACCCUCAACUAGAAACACCAACUCCAGCUCCUCCACAGGUCUCCAGCUCCAUGACCCACAAACUAAAAAACAACGAUCCACCCUGUAUCUUCAGUUCCAUGAUGGUCAAACAAACACACCAACAGCGGCUACUCUGCCGUCUCCACCUCAAUGACCCUCAACUAGAAACACCAACUCCGGCUCCUCCAUCGGUCUCCAGCUCCACUAACCUCAAUUAGAAACACCAACUGCAGCUCCUCCACAGGUCUCCAACUCCACAACCCACAAACCAGAAAACAACGCUCCACCUUUUAUCUGUAGCUCCACAAGCCUCAACAAGAAACACCACCACCGGCUCCUCCAUGGGUCUCCAGCUCCACGACCCACAAACUAGAAAACAAUGCUCUACCCUGUAUCUUCAGCUCCACGACCCUCAAACAAAAACACCAACAGUGACUACUCUGCCGUCUCCAUGUCAAUGACCCUCAACUAGAAACACCAACUCCGGCUCCUCCAUGGGUCUCCAGCUCCACGACCCUCAACUAGAAUCACCAACUCUAGCUCCUCCACGGGUCUCCAGCUCCAAUACCCACAAACUAGAAAACAGCUCUCCACCCUGUAUCUCCAGCUCCACAGACAUCAACUAGAAACACCAACUGCAGUUUCUCCGCGAGUCUCCAGCUCCAAAACCCUCAACUACAAACACCAAGACAGGCUCCUCUGUAGGUCUCCAGCUCCACAAUCGCCAAUUAGAAACAACAAAACCGGCUCCUCCGCAGGUCUCCAGCUCUACAAAGCACAAACUAGAAAACAACGCAUCACCCUGUAUCUCCAGCUCCACAACAGUCAACGAGUAAGACCAACAAUGGCUCCUCCACGGGUCUCCAACUCCAAAACCUCAACUACAAACACCAACACUGGCUUCUCCUCGGGUCUCCUGUGACAUGACUCUGAACUACAAACACCAACACCAGCUCCUGGUGGGUCUCCAGCUCCACGACAUUCAACGAGAAACACCAACAGCUUCUCCUCCGCAGGUCUCCAGCACCAUGACCCUCAGCAAGAAACACCAACACCGGAUCCUCCGUGGGACACCAGCUCCACGAUCCUCAACUAGAAACACCAACACCGGCUCCUCCACGGGUCUCCAGCUCCACGAUCCUCAACUAGAAACACCAACAAUGGAUCCUCCGCGUGUCUCCCACUCCAAACCCUCAACCAGAAACACCAACGACAGCUCCUCCACGGGUCUCCAGCUCCACAACCCACAAAGUAGAAAACAACGCUCCACCCUGUAUCUCCAGCUCCACAACACUCAACAAGAAACACCACCACCGGCUCCUCUGCGGGUCUCCAGCUCCACGACCCACAAACUAGAAAACAAAGCUCCACCCUGUAUCUCCAGCUCCACGAACCUCAAACAAAGACCCCCACAGCGGCCAUUCCGCCAUCGCCACCUCAAUGACCCUUAACUAAAAACACCAACUCCGGCUCCUCCAUGGGUCUCCAGCUCCACGACCCUCAACUAGAAACACCAACUCCUCCUCCACGGGUCUCCAGCGCCAUGACCCACAAACUAGAAAACAACACUCCACCCUGUAUCUCCAGCUCCAUGACCAUCAAACGAAACCACAAACAGCGGCUACUCCGCCAUUUCCAUCUCGAUGACCCUCAACUAGAAACACCAACUCCUGCUCCUCCAUGGGUCUCUAGCUCCACGACCCUCAAAUAGAAACACCAACUCCAGCUCCUCCACGGGUCUCCAGCUCCAUGACCCACAAACUAGAAAACAAUGCUCCACCCUGUAUCUCCAGCUCCACAGUCAUCAACUAGAACCACUAAAUGCAGUUCCUCUGCGAGUCUCCAGCUCGAAAACCCUCAACUACAAACACCAACAUGGGCUACUCCACAAGUCUCCAGCUCCACGAUUCUCAAUUAAAAACAACAAAACCGGCUCCUCUGUGGGUCUCCAGCUCCACAAACCACAAACUAGAACAUGACGCAUCACCCUAUAUCUCCAGCUCCACAACAGUCAAUGAGAAACACCAACAAUGGCUCCUCCACGGGUCUCCAACUCCCCAAACCUCAACUAGAAACACCAACACCGGCUCCUCCACGGGUCUCCAGCAACACGACCCUCCACUACAAACACCAACACUGGCUCCUGGCGGGUCUCCAGCUCCACGACAUUCAACGAGAAACACCAACAGCUUCUCCUCCGCAUGUCUGCAGCACCAUGACUCUCAGCAAGAAACACCAACACCGGAUCCUCCAUGGGACUCCAGCUCCACGAUCCUCAACUAGAAACACCAACAACGGCUCCUCCGCGGGUCUCCAGCUCCACGAUUCUCAGCUAGAAACACCAAAAAUGGCUCCUCCGCAUGUCUCCAACUCCAAACCCUCAACGAGAAACACCAACGACAGCUCCUCCACGGGUCUCCAGCUCCACGACCCACAAACUAGAAAACAACGCUCCACCCUGUAUCUCCAGCUCGAUGACCCUCAAACAAAGACACCAACAGCGGCCAUUCCACCAUCGCCACCUUGAUGACCCUCAACUAGAAACAUCAACUCUGGCUCCUUCAUGGGUCUCCAGCUCCACGACCUUCAACUAGAAACACCAACUCCAGCUCCUCCACAGGUCUCCAGCUCCACGACCCACCAACCAGAAAACAACGCUCCACCCUGUAUCUCUAGCUCCACAACCCUCAAUGAGAAACACCACCAGCGGCUCCUACACGGGUCCCCAGCUCCACGACCCACAAACUAGAAAACAGUGCUCCACCCUGUAUCUCCAGCUCCACAACCCUCAACGGGAAACACCAACAACGGCUCCUCCACGGGUCUCCAGCUCCACGAUCCUCAACUAGAAACACUUACAAUGGCUCCUCCGCGUGUCUCCAACUCCAAACCCGCAACCAGAAACACCAACGACAGCUCCUCCACGGGUCUCCAGCUCCACAACCCACAAACUAGAAAACAAUGCUCCACCCUGUAUCUCCAGCUCCACGACCCUCAAACAAAGACCCCCACAGCGGCCAUUCCGCCAUCGACACCUCGAUGACCCUAAACUAGAAACACCAACUCCAGCUCCUCCAUGGGUCUCCAGCUCCACGACCCUCAACUAGAAAUACCAACUCCACCUCCUCCACAGGUCUCCAGCUCCACGACCCACAAACCAGAAAACAACGCUCCACCCUGUAUCUCCAGCUCCAUAACCCUCAUCGAGAAACACCACAAACGGCUCCUCCACAGGUCUCCAGCUCCACGACCCACAAACCAGAAAACAAUGCUCCACCCUGUAUCUCCAGCUCCACAACCCUCAACGAGAAACACCACAACCGGCUCCUCUGCAGAUCUCCAGCUCCACGACCCACAAACUAGAAAACAACGCUCCACCCUGUAUCUCCAGCUCCACAACCCUCAACGAGAAACACCAACAACGGUUCCUCGGUGGGUAUCUAGCUCCACAAUCAUCAACUAGAAACAACAAAAGUGGCUCCUCUGCGUGUCUCCAACUCCACAACCCUCAACCAGAAACACCAUCGACAGCUCCUCCACGGGUCUCCAGGUCCGUGACCCACAAACUAGAAAACAACACUCCACCCUGUAUCUCCAGCUCCACGACCCUCAAGAAAAAACACCAAGAGUGGCUACUCCGCCGUCUCCACCUCGAUGACCCUCAAUUAGAAACACCAACUCCAGCUCCUCCAUGGGUCUCCAGCUCCACGACUCUCAACUAGAAACACCAAGUCCAGCUCCUCCACGGGUCUCCAGCUCCACGACUCUCAACUAGAAACACCAAGUCCAGCUCCUCCACGGGUCUCCAGCUCCACAACCCACAAACCAGAAAACAACACUCCACCCUAUAUCUCUAGCUCCACAACCCUCAACGAGAAACACCACCACAGGCUCCUACACGGGUCUCCAGCUCCACGACCCACAAACUAGAAAACAAUGCUCCACAACCCUCAACGAGAAACACCACCACCGGCUCCUCUGUGGGUCUCCAGCUCCACGACCCACAAACUAGAAAACAACGCUCCACCCUGUAUCUCCAGCUCCACAACCCUCAAUGAGAAACACCAACAACGGCUCCUCCUCAGGUCUCCAGCUCCACAGCCUAAGUCAUGAGAGGCAGCACUGGCUCUUCCCGUAGAUUCCAGAUCCGAGACCCUCAGAUUCGAAUUGCAGGACCUCUUCCCCACUAGAUCUCCAGCUGCACAAUACUCAAACUGCAACAACAUCAGCUCCUCCUAGGGUGUCCAGCUGCAUGACCCUCAAACUAGAACAGCUCCUCCCAGGGUCUUCAGCUCCACGGCCCUCAAACUAUAAAGACAACAGCUCCUGCCUGCAUCCCCAGCUCUACAACCGUCAAACUAGAACACCAGUUCCUCUCCAGGUGUCCAGCUCCACGGCUCUCAAAGGAAAACAACAUCAGCUCCUCCCUAGUUCUCCAGCUGUACGACCCUCAAAUUGGAACAUGAGCUCCCCGCCGCGUCUCCAGCUGCAUUGCCCUUAAACUGGAACAUCAGCUUCUGGGCCCUGAAACUGGAACAUCAGCUCCCACCGGGUCUCCAGCUGCAUCGCCCUCAAAGUGGAACAUUGGCGCCACCCUGAAUCUCCAGUUGCACGGCCCUCAAACUGGAACAUCAACUCCCCCACGGUUCUCCAGCUGCAUGGCCCUCAAACUGGAACAUCAGCUCCCCUCCUGGUCUCCAGCUGCACGGUUCUCAAACUAGAACAUCAGCUCUCUUGCCAUGUGUCCAGCUGCACGGACCUCAAACUGCAACAUCAGCUCCCCGCUGAGUCUCCAGCUGCAUGGCGCUCAAACUGGAACAUCAGCUCUCUGCCCUGUGUCUACCUGCACGGCCCUCAAACUGGAACAUCAGCUCCCCACUGGGUCUACAGCAGCACUGCCCUCAAACUGGAGCAUUAGCUUACCCCUGUGUGUCCAGCUCCCCGGCCCUCCAAUUGGAACAUCAGCUUCCUGAUGAGUCUCCAGAUGCACGGCCCUCAAACUGGAACACCAGCUCCCCCCCGGGUCUCCAGCUACACGGCUCUCAAACUGGAACAUCAGCUCCCCCCAGAUCUACAGCUGCACGGCCCUCAAA